rnacentral:rRNA from 1 species
GACGAACGCUGGCGGCGUGCUUAACACAUGCAAGUCGAGCGGUAAGGCCCUUUCGGGGGUACACGAGCGGCGAACGGGUGAGUAACACGUGGGUGACCUGCCCUCAGCUCUGGGAUAAGCCUGGGAAACCGGGUCUAAUACUGGAUAUGACUCCAUGGCGCAUGUUGUGGGGUGGAAAGCCUUGUGCGGCUGAGGAUGGGCCCGCGGCCUAUCAGCUUGUUGGUGGGGUGANGGCCUACCAAGGCGACGACGGGUAGCCGGCCUGAGAGGGCGACCGGCCACACUGGGACUGAGACACGGCCCAGACUCCUACGGGAGGCAGCAGUGGGGAAUCUUGCGCAAUGGGCGAAAGCCUGACGCAGCGACGCCGCGUGAGGGAUGACGGCCUGGUUGUAACGUACUU